AUUACCCUACGGGGCGCAGCAGUGAGGAAUAUUGGUCAAUGGACGCAAGUCUGAACCAGCCAAGUAGCGUGCAGGAUGACGGCCCUCCGGGUUGUAAACUGCUUUUAGUUGGGAAUAAAAGGGGGCUCGUGAGCCCCGUAUUGUAUGUACCAUCAGAAAAAGGACCGGCUAAUUCCGUGCCAGCAGCCGCGGUAAUACGGAGGAUGCGAGCGUUAUCCGGAUUUAUUGGGUUUAAAGGGUGCGCAGGCGGAAGAUCAAGUCAGCGGUAAAAUUGAGAGGCUCAACCUCUUCGAGCCGUUGAAACU
rnacentral:rRNA from 1 species